rnacentral:lncRNA from 1 species
GGGUUGGGUUUCUUCAAUAGGUCUCAGCUGGAGCCUGGAAGGAGGCAGGUCCCACCCUGGGCGUGGGGACGCAGCCUCCCUCACCGCCUCCUUCAGCGCCUGAGCCCAGGCCCGACUCAGGGGGCGUGUGUACGCAGUAGGCCUCGUCCGCCAGCAGUAACAGGAGCCGGUCUGUGCUCUGGCUGCCUGAGGAGGACGUGGGGCGGCGUCCAGGCUGACAGGAGCCCCGGCCUCCUCAGGACCCGCAGGUAGGCUUCAGGACCAUGUGGAGCCGUGUCCUCGCUGACAGGAGCCUGGUCUCCUCAGGACCCACGGUGAGACUUCAGGAAGAUGUGGGGCCGCUUCCUCGCUGACAGGAGCCCCAGCCUCCUCAGGACCCGCGGACCUGCUGUCUAUGACUCAGGAAGACAUGGGGCCACGUCUGCCAUGACAGGAGUCCGGCUUCCUCAGGACCCGCUGGAGGACCCUGGAGGCGCUGUUCGGAGUCACAUCCACCUCAGCAGCAGCUACUCAGAACGACAAGGUAAGUGAAUGGGGACAAUUGAGAUAGGGUUAGGGUUUAGGGUGAGCAAUAUGUGGUUAGGGUGAAAUUAGAUGAUAUGGAUUAGUGAUCAUGGUUAUGCGUUCGAGUUCCUGGUUAGGGUGAGAGAUGGGGGAAGGGUCAAGAGUUAGGAGUAAGGUACGGAUUUGGGAUUAGGAAACUGAGUUAGGGAAUGGACAAGGGUUAUGUUACAGAUAGGUUAUAGGGUUUAGAGUGAAGGGAUGGGGGAAGGAAUACGUCUAGAGAUAGAGUGGGGGAUGGGGUUGAAGUUUAGGGUUAGGGGUUAAGACAGGGGUUUGGGCUAGGUUUAGGGUACAAUUAGGGAUUAGGGUAUGGGUUAGAGUUAGGAAACGGGUUAGGGUACGGGUUAGGGUUAGGAGUUAGGGUACGGGUUAGGGUACGGGUUAGGGUAUGGGUUAGGGUUAGGGUACGGGUUAGGGUUAGCGUUAGGGUUAGGGUACGGGUUAGGGUACGGGUUAGGGUUAGGGUAUGGGUUAGGGUUAGGGUUAGAGUACGGGUUAGGGUACGGGUUAGGGUUAGGGUAUGGGUUAGGGUACGGGUUAGGGUUAGGGUACGGGUUAGGGUUAGGGGUUAGGGUUAGGGGUUGGGGUUAGGGUUAGGGUACGGGUUAGGGUUAGGGUAC